rnacentral:rRNA from 1 species
UCCCAGACUCCUACGGGAGGCAGCAGUGGGGAAUAUUGCACAAUGGGGGGAACCCUGAUGCAGCAACGCCGCGUGGGUGAAGAAGUAUUUCGGUAUGUAAAGCCCUAUCAGCAGGGAAGAGAAUGACGGUACCUGACUAAGAAGCCCCGGCUAACUACGUGCCAGCAGCCGCGGUAAUACGUAGGGGGCAAGCGUUAUCCGGAUUUACUGGGUGUAAAGGGAGCGUAGACGGUUGCGCAAGUCUGAAGUGAAAGCCCGCGGCUCAACUGCGGAACGGCUUUGGAAACUGUGUAACUGGAGUGCUGGAGAGGUAAGCGGAAUUCCUGGUGUAGCGGUGAAAUGCGUAGAGAUCAGGAGGAACACCGGCGGCGAAGGCGGCUUACUGGACAGUAACUGACGUUGAGGCUCGAAAGCGUGGGGAGCAAACAGGAUUAGAUACCCGGGUAUAA